AGAAAUAAUCCAAUUGAGAGCAUUCAAUUGGUGGAUGCAAGAGAAUCAUUAAGUGCUUCCAAUAUAGGAGAAAAAUGUUUUUAAGCAUGUAAUUAUAUUGAAAGAGCAAUUGGCUCUUCAAUAUGGGUAUUACGAGUUUAUUUUGUUAAGGGAUAUUGUUUAGAAUUAUGUAUUUGGGGUUUGGAUGAGAGAAAAUUAUUUCUGAAAGUGUGGUUAUAAUAAUUUUCCACAUAAUGAAUAUUUUUCUCUGGUUGUUUUGUGACAACGGUCGUGAUUUUUCUCCGAAUUUAGAAUUUUC
rnacentral:lncRNA from 1 species